GAAAGUAAACAAGGGCGCAUGGAGGAUGCCUAGGCUCUCGGAGGCGAAGAAGGACGUGAUAAGCUGCGAAAAGUUACGGUAAGGCGCAAAUAGCCCUAGACCCGUAAAUAUCCGAAUGGGGCAACCCGGCCAGCAAUGGCCAUACCGCCAAGCGGUAAGCCAACGCGGGGAACUGAAACAUCUAAGUACCCGCAGGAAAAGAAAAUAACAAUGAUUCCGCCAGUAGUGGCGAGCGAACGCGGAACAGCCCAAACCACUCGUGUUACGGCACGAGUGGGGUAGAAGGAUCCACGAUACGGCAAGAAAUAAGUUAGCAGAAUACGAUGGAAAUCGUAGCCAAAGACGGUGACAGCCCGGUAUGCGAAAACAGACAGAAGCCCAGUGGACACCUGAGUAACCCAGGACACGAGAAAUCCGGGGCGAAUCAGCGGGGCCCAUCCCGUAAGGCUAAAUACUCCCGAGAGACCGAUAGCGAACCAGUACUGUGAAGGAAAGGUGAAAAGAACCUCGAACAGAGGAGUGAAAGAGACCCUGAAACCAUGCGCCUACAAGCGGUCGGAGCAUGUUAAAAUGUGACGGCGUGCCUUUUGCAUAAUGAACCUACGAGUUACUCUCGCUGGCAAGGUUAAGCGAUUCAGUCGCGCAGCCGAAGCGAAAGCAAGUCCGAAUAAGGCGUACAGUCAGCGGGAGUAGACGCGAAACCAAGUGAUCUACCCUUGGUCAGGUUGAAGGUUGGGUAACACCAACUGGAGGACCGCACCGAUAAGCGUUGAAAAGCUUACGGAUGAACUGAGGGUAGGAGUGAAAGGCCAAUCAAACUUGGAGAUAGCUCGUACUCCCCGAAAUGCAUUUAGGUGCAGCCUCGAAGUAAAGUGAUAGAGGUAGAGCGACUGAUAAGAUGCGAGGGCUUCACCGCCUAUCAAGUCUUGACAAACUCCGAAUACUAUCACUUGAUCUUCGGGAGUGAGGGCAUGGGUGCUAAGGUCCAUGUCCGAAAGAGGAACAACUCAGACCACCAGCUAAGGUCCCGAAAUAAGGGCUAAGUUGAACAAACGAAGUAAAACUGCAAAGACAGCUAGGAUGUUGGCUUGGAAGCAGCCAUUCAUUUAAAGAGUGCGUAACAGCUCACUAGUCGAGGAGUUUUGCAUGGAUAAUAAUCGGGCAUAAGCCCUUUACCGAAGCUGUGGAUGUCGUAAGACAUGGUAGGGGAGCAUUCCGGCGGCGACGAAGGCCGUCCUCGAGGACGACUGGAGCUUUCGGAAAAGCAAAUGUAGGUAUAAGUAACGAUAAAGGGGGCGUGAAACCCCCUCGCCAUAAGACUAAGGAUUCCUGAUCAACGCUAAUCGGAUCAGGGUAAGUCGGGCCCUAAGGCGCAGCCGAACGGCGUAGCCGAUGGAAGAAACGGUAAAGAUUCCGUUACUGGAUAUAGGAGCGAUGUGGAGACGGAGAAGUGACACACCCGCCUGCCGACGGAAGCGCAGGUUAAAGGAAGUAGGUAAACGCCGGGUAGGCAAAUCCGCCUGGCGUGCCGAAGCUGACAGUAUCGAGAGCCCCCGGGCAAUCGAAUAGCGGUGGUAAUCAGGCUCCCAAGAAAAUCCGCUAAGCAAAUUCUAUAUCCACCCGUACCCCAAACGGACACACGUAGUCGGGUAGAAUAUACCAAGGCGCUCGAAAGACUCACGGUUAAGGAACUAGGCAAAUUGACCCUGUAACCUCGGGAAAAAGGGUCCCCAGUAAGAUGGGGCGCAGAGAAUAGGUCCAGGCAACUGUUUAACAAAAACACAGGGCUGUGCAAAAUUUCAAGAUGAAGUAUACAGCCUGACACCUGCCCGGUGCCGGAAGGUUAAGAGGAGAGCUAAUCGCAAGAGAAGGCUUGAAUUGAAGCCCCGGUAAACGGCGGCCGUAACUAUAACGGUCCUAAGGUAGCGAAAUUCCUUGUCGGGUAAGUUC
rnacentral:rRNA from 1 species